rnacentral:rRNA from 1 species
GUGAGGAAUAUUGCGCAAUGGAGGCAACUCUGAACCAGCCAUGCCGCGUGCAGGAAGACGGCCCUCUGGGUUGUAAACUGCUUUUAUCCGGGAAUAAACCUGCCUUCGUGAAGGUAGCUGAAUGUACCGGAAGAAUAAGGAUCGGCUAACUCCGUGCCAGCAGCCGCGGUAAUACGGAGGAUCCAAGCGUUAUCCGGAUUUAUUGGGUUUAAAGGGUGCGUAGGCGGCCUGUUAAGUCAGGGGUGAAAGACGGUGGCUCAACCAUCGCAGUGCCAUUGAUACUGAUGGGCUUGAAUGGACUAGAGGUAGGCGGAAUGUGACAAGUAGCGGUGAAAUGCAUAGAUAUGUCACAGAACACCGAUUGCGAAGGCAGCUUACUAUGGUCCUAUUGACGCUGAGGCACGAAAGCGUGGGGAUCGAACAGGAUUAGAUACCCCAGUAGUCC